rnacentral:lncRNA from 1 species
UUUUUUUUUUUUUGAUUUUUUUCGCAAUUUUGUUUUUAAAAAACACACCACUGAAAAGGACACAUCCUGCUUUUCAAAACAUGUCUACUAAAUAAAAUAGCAUUACCUUCUACCUGUUCCUUGAAUAAAUAAGAAUUUCCAUGAUAGGUCAGAAGCAUCAAGCUGAGGACCUUGACUCUUCAAGUAGUAAAUUACUGAGUAACAAGCCACCCCGAGCUCCUGUGCCAGGAUGGCACAGCAUCGACCUCGGAAACUCCUGCUUUCACAGAAGUGACCGGAAGACUCAGGUGAGUUCAGAGAGGGCAUUGCCAUGUGCAAACCAGCAGAACACACCCACUGCAGGAAUACCACUUUCUACUCUGUAGUGGUUACCAGUGGGCCUCACCUCAUUCCCAUACCUUAAAUUCCCUGAGGUCAAGAACUGUGUUUAUUUAUCUCCUAGACUCACAGGAUAACAGGGUCUUCGUGAAUAUUUAUGAGCCCGUAAAGAACAGGUUGAGAGGUGGGGAACCACACAGGAAAGGUGGUUCUAAGCCUUCACUUCAAAGUUCCACUUUACUUUACUGGCCCUUCAAAAAAUAUUGCUCCACUGAUCAAAAUCAUAAGGACUAAUGCCUCUCUCAGCACAAAUCAAGAUAACCUGUCAUUAUCAGAUGUCUGAGCAGUCCUUCACGCCAGUAGGCAGUCAGAUAAGGCACUCCUACUCAGGUGCUGGUUUAUAAAAAGCCAAAGUAGCAUCUUUUAAAAAGAUUUUUAUUUGAUUCAAUACCUUAAUCCAGAGACAUUUUCUUAAUCCUUGAAAGGAGUCUAAUCUCAUUCUAGAAUUCUCAGUAUUAAAACACAAAGUUGCUCAAAUUCCCCCUUCUAUCAAUGCCAUCAUUUCAAUUCUUAAUGUGUGGAAUGAAUGUUCUUCUCCACAGUUCAUAAGACUUUAUGCCAAGUGUAAGGUGUGUUUUCUUUUAGCUAGUACUUAUUUUAGCCAAAAUCACAGAACAAACUCAGUAUCUAAACAGCAUUGUAUCUGCAGAUGUGUAAAGAAAAUCCACUGUACUGAAAUAGUCACUAAAGGAAUAAUUACUCAGUGAGUUAACUGUUUAAAUAUGGCCAGUUGCUCAAACUGCAAAAAGCUCAUUCGUAACUGCAAUUAUAAAAUAAAUGAUUAUAUUUAUAACCACAUUAAAAAAUACCUAGCUGACUAGUGAGUUAAAAAAAAAAUCCCUUAACCAAGCAAAUAAAACACCAGCAAUAAUCUGUACUCAUUAAAAGUAGUUGGUUCUUACCAAAUUGAAAUCAGUUUCCUCCACCUUCAGUAACUACUUACUUUUAACACAGCUGUGAAAUCAGAUGAAAUCAAAUUUGAAUUGCAGACAAUUAAUUUUAAAAUAAGUACUACCUGAACACUUAGCAGCAUAGACCCUACAUCUUCCAUGAAAUAGCUGCAAGAAUUUGUCACAGAUGCAAGUGAAUAAAACAUCUAUCUAAAAAUACAGUAUUUAGCAAUGAUAAAAAUAUUUGAGACAGCAAGGGAAACACAUCACAAAUGAGCUUUUUCAACACGUCUUGGCAUACAAACAAGUGUAUCUUGCAAACAGGAGUACCAAGUCUCCUGAGGUCCCAAUAAUGCCAGUGCUGAGAAGCAGAAGGGAGAAGCAAGGAGGUCCCUAAAAUGAAGACAUCUACUGAGGCGGAGCUGUUCAGCUCGGCAGCCUCAGAAUAGCAGGUUCAAAGCCAAGAAAGAGUUAAACACCUAGGCUAGCUCUGUAAUGAAUGCUUAGUAAGUUUGGCCAACGAAUAUCAAGUAGAACCAGGGCUAGAGCAACUGCUAAAGGGAUGACCUCCUUGAAUCUUAUUUGCAUAGCAAUGAGAUGUCACAAAGGCAUUAAGUCUGAAACUGCAAUGCUGUUUCUAAUCCAUGCUUUAUUUUGUUGUGACAUUAAGCAAACUGCUUUUUAAAGUAAAACAGAAAUGAUUCCAGCAAUUCAGGCAUGGGGGAGGGCGCAGGGAAGGGGGAACAAGUAUAGAUUAUAAAAUAGACUGGAAAGUAGCUAUGCAAAGAGCUACUAAGUCAUUCUAGGAGCAAAAUCAGCUGGGGGAAAAAAAAGCAGUAGAAUAAUAACUUUCAAGGAUAUUUCCAAAGUAGCGGCAGGUAAGUAAGUUGCUGGCUUUUGUCAACUAAUAUGUGUUACUUGGGCCAAUAAUAAUGUUGUCUGCUCACAACAGACAAAACAUCAAUAAAAUGAGGCAAACUCUCCCAAAGUGUAUCUGUUACACCCUCAGGCUGUUGCCUAUAAUGAUGCGAAAGCCUUCAGUUACAAUUUGGCAUUUGUUUUUGUUUUGUCUUAUUUUGUUUUCAAAAAUUGAGCUUGCAAGUAUUAUUACCAUUAGCGGAGACUAAGGGAUUUUUUUUUCCUUAAAAGGAAUGUUGAGGAAUGCAACUUCUUUUUAAUAUACGGGAUUAAAUUACACAUACAGCUAAGGCUGCAAUGAGAAUAGCAAGAAAAUGGCAUUGAAAUCAAGCUUUUGUGUUAAAGCAGCUACAAAAUGAAAAGGCAUUCAACAGAAUCAUGAAUACUCAAGCUCUACCUAUAUAUUUUUUAAAAGGAUACUACUUCUAAGCUUCAAAUACCCUAAGUUCAUUUCUCUCCCAGAGUCUUACACAUCAAAUCCAAACCCAGUCACAGUGCAAUUAAUUGAAAACAAAAUAAAAUAAAACAAAACAAAACAAAAAAAACUCCUCUAUGACGCCUUGAACAUGCAACUUACCCAGUUACGGUUGUUUCCCUGCAGUAAUUACCAAGGAACAUAGAGAUUUUUACUAUUUCUGUCAAAGGAUAGGCAAAAUGAAGUUCAGGCUGCCCGUUACUCAAAUCUCUAAACCACCUUUCCGAAGGCAUAAAAAAUAACUCUCUCAUUUUGUGAUUUUUGACAGAAUCUCAAGUUAUUCAACAGAUCAUAUGAAUCUACUUAGGACAAUGAAAUUAAUAUUUCAGUAAGUCUUCUUCCAUGAAACAGGAAGCCUUUUAGUAAUGACCUUGGACCAGAUAAUAGGAAAGGCAAGAAAAGGAGGGUCCGAAGCCAGAGGGUAAUUGUGAUUCAAAGACUCUUUUAUGCAAAUAAGUCCCCUAAUCAUGCUAAUGCAAUUUUCUACAUUUUAUCUUCCAUCUUUUUAUUUACAUUCAGCUGAGAAGCCAAAAUCAGAAAAUAGCAGAUUUCCGGCUUCUUGAUCCAACCUGUCCUGUGCAAGCACAGUCCUGGAAUGCUGCGAGACAGUCACUGGGAAUAUGACACCCCACUCCCAGAAGUAACAGGACAGAACUCAGAACAUCCCGGCUAUCCUGAAGUUAGUUCCAGCAGAUGGUAAACGACUCAGGCAGGGUGCAAUAAUCCACACUGACUGGGCACCCGUAAACAUUUCCAUUUCCUUUUGUUACCAGACUAGCCUGGAAGGGAAAAGUCAUUUCCAAGAGGGAGCAUCCAUACCUGUUGCCCUGACUCUCUGGACCCACUCAAUUUGCUUCCUGCUGACCUGGGUGCACAUUCAAGUUUUAGGAAAUGAAACCAUAUUUGCCCUGUACUGGCAGGGGUCUUCAGGGGGCAAUAUGGUCUAGAGAAGCUUCCAGCAGGAUCAUUAUGGGGUCACUGUAAUUAUGAGUAAGGCUAGAGACAGGCCAGGAACUCAGAACUCCACUAAGGAGAGAAAGAGGUAUUGGGCCAGCAGAGGUGUGAAGAAGAACACAGGCUGCAAAGUUAGACAAAGCCAAGUUAGAAUCCAGACUCUGAUACCUCCUAAACCAUGUCACCUUGGGCAAGUCGUUUACCAAUUCUGUGCCUCAAUUUCUUCACCUGUAGAGUAGAGAUAAUAAUACUUGCCUCAGAAUUUUGGGUGUACAAAUGAGAUAAUAUAUGUAAAUCUCUUUUUUAAAAGAUUUUAUUUACUUAUUCAUGAGAGACACAGUGAGGCAGAAACAUAGGCAGAGGGAGAAGCAGGCCCCCUGCAAGGAUGUGUACUGGAUCCCAAAACCCCAAGAUCACGACCCCAGAGCCGAAGGCAGACAUUCAACCACUAAGCCAUCUAGGCACCCUGUAAGCCUCUCAUCAACGUUAGUUGUUAUUAACAAAAACAAAAAUGCAUAAAGAAAUUGUAAUAAACAAACCCAAUUUACUGUUACUAACAUUAUCAACAGUUUCCUUUUAAUAGUCUAUCAAUUUAAUGCCUACUGACCAGCAGGAAGUUUGAGAGUGUUCUGUUUUUCAGGAUUCUUUAUUCACAUUUUCCUUUUUUCAAGUUUCUCCCAUAAACUUGAUUAUCUAUAUAGUAAAACUGGGAAAUAAAACAGUCCGUUGUAGUUAACCUUAUGCAUAGUAUUUGUCAUGUUGUCCUCAUUAUUAUCUAAACGAUGCAGGCCAGUAUGGCUCUGUGCCUGCUUCUCAAAUUUGGAUUAACAGCAGUUCAUCAAUAGUCCUCAAGGUGCCUGAAUAAACAGGAUGAAAUCAUGGGGAGUUUUAGCACCAUCCCCAUCUCUAAUGGCCCUGACCAUGGCAAACGAGUAUGCAAUCUAAAAAAAAAAAAAAAAAAAAAAAAAAAAA